rnacentral:rRNA from 1 species
AUUGAACGCUGGCGGCAUGCCUUACACAUGCAAGUCGAACGGUAGGGGGGCAACCCCUGAGAGUGGCGAACGGGUGAGUAAUGCAUCGGAACGUGCCCAGUUGUGGGGGAUAACGUAGCGAAAGCUACGCUAAUACCGCAUACGACCUGAGGGUGAAAGGGGGGGAUCGCAAGACCUCUCGCACUUGGAGCGGCCGAUGUCAGAUUAGCUAGUUGGUGGGGUAAAAGCCUACCAAGGCGACGAUCUGUAGCUGGUCUGAGAGGACGACCAGCCACACUGGGACUGAGACACGGCCCAGACUCCUACGGGAGGCAGCAGUGGGGAAUUUUGGACAAUGGACGCAAGUCUGAUCCAGCCAUGCCGCGUGCAGGAAGAAGGCCUUCGGGUUGUAAACUGCUUUUGUCAGGGAAGAAAUCCCUUGGGAUAAUACCUCGGGGGGAUGACGGUACCUGAAGAAUAAGCACCGGCUAACUACGUGCCAGCAGCCGCAGUAACAC